AUUCUGCCCAUGCGGGGAAGGAUGAGAAGCUUCGACCAAGGUUCGACUCGAGCGCCAGCGAGAGAGCGUUGCCGCAGGCAACGACCCGAAGGGCGAAGCGCGCAGCGCUGAGUAAUCCUUCC
rnacentral:sRNA from 1 species